rnacentral:rRNA from 1 species
CCGGGACCACCCGGUAAGGCUAAAUACUCCCAAGAGACCGAUAGUGGACCAGUACUGUGAAGGAAAGGUGAAAAGAACCCCGAACAGGGGAGUGAAAUAGAACCUGAAACCAUACGCUUACAACCGGUCGGAGCAGCUUCGUGCUGUGACGGCGUGCCUAUUGAAUAAUGAGCCUACGAGUUACUAAUCACUAGCGAGGUUAAGUGCAAGGAUGCACGGAGCCGAAGCGAAAGCGAGUCUGAACAGGGCGUUUAGUUAGUGGUUGUAGACGCGAAACCUUGCGAUCUACCCUUGAGCAGGUUGAAGGUUGGGUAAAACCAACUGGAGGACCGAACGAAUAAGCGUUGAAAAGCUUCUCGAUGACUUGAGGGUAGGGGUGAAAGGCUAAUCAAGCUGGGAAAUAGCUCGUACUCCCCGAAAUGCCUUUUGGGGCAGCGUUGUAAUAAAGAGUCUACUGGAGGUAGAGCUACUGAUUGGAUGCGGGGGCUUCACCGCCUACCAAAUCCUGACAAACUCCGAAUGCCAGUAGUAUGAUUUACAGCAGUGAGUGACUGGGUGCUAAUGUCCAGUCGCAAAAGAGGAACAACUCAGACCAGCAACUAAGGUCCCGAAGAAUAUGCUAAGUUGAUCUAACGAUGUUUUGUUGCAGAGACAGCUAGGAUGUUAGCUUGGAAGCAGCUAUUCAUUCAAAGAGUGCGUAACAGCUCACUAGUCGAGCGACAGAGCGUGGAUAAUAAACGGGCAUCAAGCAUAUCACCGAAGUUCUGGGCGCGAGAGCGCGGUAGGGGAGCAUUCCAUUCAGCGUCGAAGCAGUUUCGUGAGGAAUUGUGGAGCGUAUGGAAAAGCAAAUGUAGGCAUGAGUAACGAUAAUGCGGGAGAGUAACCCGCACACCGCAAGACCAAGGUUUCCUGAUCAACGCUAAUCGGAUCAGGGUUAGUCGGGUCCUAAGGGUAAGCCGAACGGCGAUCUCGAUGGAUAAUCGGUUAAUAUUCCGAUACUAACAUAUACCUCGAUGGAGAGACGAAGGAACGUAAGUGCCGCCACCUGACGGAAUAGGUGGUUAAAGGGCGUAGGUAUAGGGGCAGAUUAAGAGUUAGUCCUUGCUGAAACCUGACAGUACAGAGAGCCUACGGGCAAUUUGAUAGAGCACCCAAGUCGACUUCCGAGAAAAUCUUCUAAGUUAUAGUAUAUGUUACCCGUACCGUAAACCGACACAGGUGGUCGAGGAGAGUAUCCUAAGGUGCUCGAGUGAAUCACGGUUAAGGAACUAGGCAAAUUAACCCCGUAACUUCGGGAAAAGGGGUCCCUAUGAAAGUAGGGCGCAGCGAAGAGGUCCAGGCGACUGUUUAUCAAAAACACAGGGCUCUGCAAAUUCGAAAGAAGACGUAUAGGGCCUGACACCUGCCCGGUGCUGGAAGGUUAAGAGGGGAUGUCAUCGCAAGAGAAGCAUUGAAUCGAAGCCCCAGUAAACGGCGGCCGUAACUAUAACGGUCCUAAGGUAGCGAAAUUCCUUGUCGGGUAAGUUCCGACCUGCACGAAUGGUGUAACGAUCUGGACACUGUCUCAACCGUGAGCUCGGUGAAAUUGUAGUCCCGGUGAUGAUGCCGGGUACCCGCAACGGGACGAAAAGACCCCGUGAACCUUUACUAUAGCUUAACGCUGAAUUUGGGUACACAAUGUGUAGGAUAGGCCGGAGGCUUUGAAGCGGGCACGCCAGUGUUCGUGGAGCCGCUGUUGAAAUACGACCCUUCGUUUGUUUGAGUUCUAACUUCCGGAG